CGUAAUAACAGAAACUAACCAGGAUUCCCUUAGUAACGGCGAGUGAACUGGGACACCAACAAUAUAUAUAUACGCUUCACUGCGUGUAUAUCUUUAGCCCGUCGAUACUAUCCUAGCGUAUGACUUAUACUGUCUCGGCAGUUGGUCACCAAAUACGCAGGAAUUGUAGCAUCGUAACACAUAUAUACACUAUAAGCAGCGCACACGUAUAUACACACACACAUAUACACGUAUACCGGCCUUGCAAACACACAGCGCUCUCGCGUUGGAAAGCAAGUUAUAUCCUCGGAUAUGCCAUAGAGUGUGACAGCCACGUUUGGAACACCCUUAUACCGGUACACACAUAUACUGCGCAUAUACGCUUAGCACGUAUAUAUAACCUGAGUCGAGUUAUUU
rnacentral:rRNA from 1 species